GACGAACCGUGCAAACGUUGUUCGGAAUCACUGGGCUUAAAGGGCGCGUAGGCGGGCAAUCAAGUCAGGGGUGAAAUCUUUCGGCUCAACCGGAAAAGUGCCCCUGAUACUGAUCGUCUCGAGGGAGGUAGGGGUAUGUGGAACUUCUGGUGGAGCGGUGAAAUGCGUUGAUAUCAGAAGGAACGCCGGUGGCGAAAGCGACGUACUGGACCUCUUCUGACGCUGAGGCGCGAAAGCCAGGGGAGCGAACGGG
rnacentral:rRNA from 1 species